rnacentral:rRNA from 1 species
UACGUAGGGUGCAAGCGUUGUCCGGAAUUAUUGGGCGUAAAGAGCUUGUAGGCGGUUUGUCGCGUCUGCUGUGAAAUUUCGGGGCUCAACCCCGAACUUGCAGUGGGUACGGGCAGGCUAGAGUGUGGUAGGGGAGACUGGAAUUCCUGGUGUAGCGGUGAAAUGCGCAGAUAUUAGGAGGAACACCGAUGGCGAAGGCAGGUCUCUGGGCCACUACUGACGCUGAGAAGCGAAAGCAUGGGGAGCGAACAGG